UCUUUUUUGUUGGAAAUGCAUAGGAUUCCAGUUAAGCUAUGCUGAUACCAACCCUGAUAUAAGUGGUCAUUGGUGUGUCAUGGGGUGAUAGCUCCGCUGCUGUGAAAUACACACACACCUUUGCAUGAAUACUAGAAAGAGGGCACAUCAGCGCCGGAUGCAUCCGUGCAGCAAUUUAGCUUCUAAGGACCCUGUGGAGAGAACUAAGCCCCGAAGAAUGACAGCUCCAGCAAUUCGCAUUCACAGUUUUAAUUGAGUGUCUUCAAAAAGGCAAUAAAGGAGCAAAGCCGAUGACAAAAUGGGAGCUGUACUCGGCGAGCAGGCAGAGCUGGAAUGCAGCGUUCAUUACGUUUGGAAAUGAGCUCUCCGUCUCUGUGGUCCCUCUUCUGCUCCUCUCGCGCAGAUGACCCCAAGGCCAGUUUGCGCAGCUGCCUCUGUUCUUGGCUCAGGGAAGUUGUUAUAACUUGUUGUAGUAUUGCUGGUAAAUUAUAUUAUCUAUAUAUAUAUAAAAGGGUAAUGGAAUCACGGCACCGGACAAAACAACUAAACUAAACGCCCCACAACCUCGAAAAUUGACAGCACAACCUCUCAUCCACGCCUCUACGUUCAUACAACAAAAAGAAAAGAAAAAUUAAGUCCUAGCCACAGCAAUGCGUGGCCAGGCACAGCUAGUGUCUUAUAUAGAUGUGAGUUAUUUUCUCGUAGUUGCUGAUCACUUUAUCAACUGAAGAAGGGGAGGUUUCUUCCCGAAACAGGGUACUAGAAAACCCGGGCACCCCUGUAGCACCAAUACUGUACCUACAACGGAUUUUUUUCACUCCUUUUAUUGGAGGAUUUUCAUCCUCCUUGGACCUUAACAGCCCUUUUGAAUUAUGAAUGACUCCAUUCACAGAGACUUUUUGUUUUGAGAGCUGUGCUCCAUCUUUAUUCUGUCCAUUCUGCAUAGUAGCUACCUGACCAACCGCAAGUUCACUCCCUUUUGGAAGAUUUUUUCCCCAUUGGAUUUGGACCCCUGAAGCUUUCAUAUAUUGGGACUGAUAUCAGACUGAGAUAAUUUCCAUUUGAGGGCAGUUGCUCAUUUCUGUUGUAUUGUUCAUUGCAUGGUAUUGAGCUUUGUAUUGGGGAUUAUGGUGUUACUAUAUGCUAUGUGGUCAUUAUAGUUCUUCUACUGCACAGAC